CAGGGAAUUGUCCUGUGUGCCAGGGACUUUCUUUAGGCCUCGGGCCCCUGUCUACCCCUAUCAUCAGCAGAGAGAUGGAAACCUUGAUGACUAGUUCCACUCUGCCUCCCCUUUUUGCAGAUGAAGAUGGCUCCAAGGAGAGUAAUGAUCUGGUUUCAACUGGGUUAACCCACCCAGAGGCUCCAUAUAGUAGUGGAGCCACAUCAUCCAGCAAUAAUCCAGAAUUUGUAGAGGAUCUCUCCCAAGGUCAGCUGCUUCAGAAUGAAUCUUCAAAUACAGCAGAAGGCAGUGAACAGAGGCAUGAAGAUGAGCAAAGAAGUAAACGAGGAGGUUGGUCCAAAGGAAGAAAGAGAAAGAAACCUCUUCGAGACAGCAAUGCACCCAAAUCCCCUCUUACAGGAUAUGUUGGAUUCAUGAAUGAGUGUCGAGAACAGCUUCGAGCAAAGAGACCAGAAGUCCCAUUUCCAGAAAUUACAAGGAUGUUAGGCAAUGAAUGGAGUAAACUUCCUCCGGAGGAAAAACAGCGCUACCUUGAUGAGGCAGACAGAGAUAAGGAGCGUUACAUGAAGGAACUGGAGCAGUAUCAGAAGACUGAGGCCUACAAGGUUUUCAGCAGGAAAACCCAGGACCGUCAGAAAGGCAAAUCUCAUAGACAAGAUGCAGCCCGACAGGCCACUCAUGAUCAUGAGAAAGAAGCAGAAGUAAAGGAACGGUCUGUUUUUGACAUCCCUAUAUUUACAGAGGAAUUCCUGAACCACAGCAAAGCUCGGGAGGCAGAGCUCCUUCUGCUUCGCAAAUCCAACAUGGAAUUUGAGGAGAGGAACACAGCCCUGCAAAAGCACGUGGAGAGCAUGCGCACAGCGGUGGAGAAACUGGAGGUGGACGUGAUCCAGGAGCGCAACCGCAAAACCGUCUUACAGCAGCACUUGGAGACGCUGCGGCAGGUGCUGACCAGCAGCUUCGCCAGCAUGCCCUUGCCUGGAAGUGGAGAGACACCUACAGUGGACACUAUCGACUCCUAUAUGAACAGACUGCACAGUAUUAUUUUAGCUAAUCCCCAAGACAAUGAAAACUUCAUAGCUACAGUUCGAGAAGUUGUGAACAGGCUUGAUCGUUAGGGAAUGGUGAGUGCUCACUGACUUGAUUCGUACAUGCCAGCACAUCAUCAAAACUAAGAUGGCAUUAGACUUUAUUAAUACUAUUAAAAUCCUGGAAUGACAUUGAAUAAGUGAGUUGGAGGCUUAAGAUUCCUGUUGCUUGGUUGCUGAAUGUAGUAAAUAGUGUUGGAAAACUGAAUCAAGAUAGUUUUUCCUCAUGCAUGCCUCCAUGUGGCUUAAUAGAAAGGGCAUGAUUUUUGUGGUUGGAUCUCAAUUCUAGCUUUGUCACUUAUUAAGUUGUAUUCUUAGGUAUUAGUUUCCCAUAGGGUUUUGAAGGUUAAGUGAUAAAUUUAAAGGAAAUAACCCCCCAAAGAACAUAUUGGACAAAAUAAGUAUCACUUAUUUG